UACGUAGGGUCCAAGCGUUAUCCGGAAUCACUGGGUUUAAAGGGUGCGUAGGUGGUCCGUUAAGUUCGUUGUGAAAGCCCUGGGCUCAACCCAGGAACUGCUUCGAAUACUGGCGGACUUGAGGCUAGUAGGGGUCACUGGAACUGACGGUGGAGCGGUGAAAUGCGUAGAUAUCGUCAGGAACGCCAAUGGUGAAGACAGGUGACUGGGCUAGUUCUGACACUGAGGCACGAAAGCGUGGGGAGCGAACGGG
rnacentral:rRNA from 1 species